CAUACGAGCAGUUAUGAAAGACAUCGAAACAACAACACUUUGUUUUGAGAAUGAAGUGGGCGGGUAUUGCCCUGGAUUAAUAUUCCUUUUAACCACUACAAUGACAUCUAUAAACAUUGACUGUUCCCUUUUCCCUGCUGGUGGUACGUGGCCUGGUGUUUUAUUUACGCUUAGAAAUGGCAGUCAACCAAGUUACUCAGUCAGUGAAUCUGAAUAAAUUCCACACGCUUGACGGUCACAAGUAGGACAUGCUAUCCUUGCCCCAACUAUGUCUGAAUAAUGCUUGUGAAUGCUGUCGUUGUGUUCCUUCCGUAAAUCUGUGAGCUCCAGCGUAGCAAGUAGGAAACUUCUCCAAAAGCUUGCGAGUUCAGUUUCAAAGUGAGCGUGUGUGCGUGAGUUCACGUUUGGCAAUGCAUUAUGAACCUGCCGAGAGUUUGCACGUUUGCAGAUAAACUCUUGAACGUCAGUGUUUUCAUUUGUCUUCGUUGCACUCUGGUGGAAGACUGCCCAAAUUUCACUUGAGCACAUUGAACUGUCUUCAGGUCAUGGGAACUUUAAAAGCGAUGAGGGAAACAGCUCCUUGGGUGAGAUGGAGAAAGUACACUUCAAGCUGACAACUAGAAGAGAAAUCACUCUUUCGGCGUGCUUUGUUGUUACGCAUAAAUAGUGAACUACAUCUAGUGUGGAUGAAAUGGUGCACACGCGUCAGAGAGCUGUUGUAACGACUUACAAGAAUGCCUUCAUGUUUAGAGGGCAUGAUUGAUGACUUGUCAACUGUUUAUGAUGUGAUUUCUGUGCAUUACUGGUGAUUAUAUACAUUGCUGCCAUUUUCUCUGUCUUAUACGGUCGAAUGCCAAUCUGUGCAUACGUAUCUUUACUAUAUGUUAUGUUCUUGCUCUGAUCUUCUGCAACCCAGAAGUUUAUUGUACUCUGCAGUUUUGUAUCUGAGAAAAAAAAAAAAGACAUUCAUAGUGAGAACUGCCCACUGUAUGACAUUUUGUUAUCAUGAAGAGAGGAUGAGCACUUUAAUUCUGACCAAUCAUUCUAAACCGUAGCUUCUUUUCAGGGGCCGUCGACCGCCUUCCUGCAUCAAGUCGGACGUCCUCUUCGGUGCAAGGACUGACCACCGUCGUCACACCUUACACUUCCUAUUCCGAUCUGUGGUGUACCAGGCUUCACGCAGGAUUGCGAGCAGCGUAUAAAUGCAGGUUUUGUCCGUACAAGACCACAUUCAAGGGUGGCAUCGUGCUGCACGAGCAGAGGCAUUCUGAGGCAGCGUCCUUCAAGUGCAGGUUCUGCAACUACAUGUCACUGGACGGGACGAACGUGGCAAAGCAUGAAAUGAGCAAGCACACGGGGAAGAAACCCUACAAGUGCAGCUUGUGCGCAUACAUAGCAAGAACGAAAUGUCAUCUCACAGAACAUUUGCGAACACAUCAGAAAUGACUGCUUCAGGGCUGAAAACUAAUGAUAGGAGGAUUGCACGGACAGUACGGUGUGCCGGUUUUUGCGCUUUCCUUUACGAAGAUACGUUGAAGACCGCAAACUUAUCUUUUUAAGUAUAGGAGUGUCUGUGCAUGCUUUAAAAGGAAAGUCCAGAGCUCCCUUAUCGUGCCACGUGGCUAGAUACUAACAAUUCCUAGCAUAGAUCCGUCAUGAUUGCCAAUGGUUAAGGAGUGCCUGUGUGCCCCAAGGUAAGCUAGGUGCCAUAUAUGUCCUUCACAACGACAUCGGCGUUGUUUCUAAGAACUGACACCUGCAGUGCUGAGAAUACAAGAUGUACCGCUUGCGACAGUCAUCUAAAAUCGCCACCCCGUGUUUUAUCCCAUAUCAAAUCUUGGGGGUGUUGCAAGAUAAUUUAUUUGGAGAGAUACACAUGCAGCAUAUGGUCCACCUUUAAAUACAAUAUUGGUACAACAUUUUUGAGGGCAGUCAAGGAAAUACUGACAGGCGAUUUCAGACAACCGUGUCUUGAGCAGUACGCACGCACGCACACACACACACACACUGACAAUCUAAGUUUAUUUUUCUGAACAACUGCUCUAUAUUCCUAUCCCACCUUAUUCAUUCUUUUCUUUCUUGUGUUGGAAGUGUUCUUUUUUCUUUUUCUUUUUCUUUUUUUUGCGUGUUUUAUUCCUUACAUUUUAUCUGAUAUAGAAACCUCUAAUCUUCUGGUAAAUAUAUGGCAGAUCUACUGGCACUGUUUUACGUCCUCGACUUCCAGAAACGAUAGGGUUCCUUGUUUCCUAUCGAUUACUGUGUAAAAUACUUGCGCGACGAUUGGGAAGCACUAUUGGUAGCAGAAGACUGCUACUGUAAAAAGAAAGUGGUUAACCCUGAGGAUUAUAAAACCAGAGAAGGGAGUUCUAAACGUGUGGCUUGAUAAGGGUGCCCUGAACUGGCCCUUAAGCUGAACAGGUAAUCUCUUAUCCGUGGUUGCAUUUCACUGUCUGUACCGAUUCCAGUGGGAAUAAAAAUGUUAACAUA